rnacentral:rRNA from 1 species
UGGCGGCGCGUCUUAAGCAUGCAAGUCGGACGGCAAGGGAGGUGCUGCACUUCCCCCACGAGUGGCGGGACUGGUGAGUAACACGUGGGUGACGUACCCCGGGGACCGGGGAUAGCUCCUAGAAAUAGGAGGUAAUACCGGAUACGACCGUAUGCGCCAGAGGCAUACGAGGAAAGGGGCUCCGGCCCGCCCCCGGAACGGCCCGCGGCCCAUUAGCUUGUAGGUGAGGUAACGGCCCACCUAGGCGACGAUGGGUAUCCGGCCUGAGAGGGUGGACGGACACAUUGGGACUGAGAUACGGCCCAGACUCCUACGGGGGGCAGCAGCUAAGAAUAUUCCGCAAUGCACGGAAGUGUGACGGAGCGACGCCGCGUGGAUGAAGAAGGCCGGAAGGUUGUAAAAUCCUUUUAGACGGGAAGAAUAAGCCCCGCAGGGAAUGGCGGGGCGGUGACUGUACCGUCUGAAUAAGCAACGGCUAAUUACGUGCCAGCAGCCGC